rnacentral:rRNA from 1 species
AUUGAACGCUGGCGGCAGGCCUAACACAUGCAAGUCGAACGCGUGGCGGACGGGUGCGUUUUGUCUGAGAAACCGUCCGAUGGUGGGGGAUAUCUUCUGACAACGGUCGCUAAUACCGUAUACCCUCGGUUGCGCCCAGAUGGGUUUAGCUAGUAGGUGGGGUAACGGCUCACCUAGGCGACGACCCCUAGCUGGUCGGAGAGGAUGACCAGCCACACUGGAACUGAGACACGGUCCAGACGCCUACGGGAGGCAGAAGUGGGGAAGAUUGCACAAUGGGAGCAAGCCUGAUGGAGCCAUGCGGCGUGUAUGAAGAAGGCCUUCGGGUUGUAAAGUACUUUCAGCGAGGAGGCGUUACUCGCAGAAGAAGCACCGGCUAACUCCGUGCCAGCAGGCGCGGUAAUUC